AUUUGGAGGUGGGAGGACCCAGCCAGGCCGGGGCAACGCAGCCUGCCCCCCAGCUCCUCCGUGGGCUGGACCCAGCGGGGCAGGGAGCGGGUUAACCCGAGAGAAGCAGCCGGAGUGGGGCAGAGCCGGGCCCAGCCCCCUCCGGUGCAUGGGCCGGCCGGAAGGCGGUCUUAAAGGCCCCGGUGGAACAUUCGCGGCCGCAAUACUCGGGCCUGGGAACGUCGGGGGCUUAAGGCUCGGCGUCCGCGGGGCCGGGCAGCCAUGCUGGUCAAGGUCAAGGUGCUGUAUUGCGGGAGCUGAGGCUAUGGGUCCAAGUAUCGACAGCUCAGGCUGGAACUCGAAAGCAGGUUCCCAGGCAAGCUGGAGAUAAGCAGUGAGGGGACUCGUGAGGCCACAGGAUGGUUUGAAGUGUCAGUCGGAGGCAAGCUGGUGCAUUCUAAAAAGAAUGGCGAUGGCUUUGUGGAUGACAACGACAAGCUUGACAAGAUCUUUACGGCCAUCAAACAGGCUCUGGCAUAGGGACACCGGAAUGCAUUGGUGAUAAGUGUAUAACAAAGCUUGAGGAGAAUCUACCUUGUUCAGCCCAGCCGAGCGCUCGAUGACAGGAAUGGCUGAAAUAUCCCUGGAUGCGAGGCCAUUCCUCGAAGCCCUUGCGUGGCAUGCUGGUGUGAACGGUGGUAGAUGGGACUCAGGUUCUGCUCUCUGAAGUGCUUUUUAUGUAUGUGCCAGUUGCACCCGGGGUGGGAAUGGCCUUCGUUAACAUGCAAUGUUUGUCUGUCUCGCUGUUUUCCAAUGAAAGUGCCUCUACCAAUCUGACAUCCAGGGCACUUCCUUUCUGUCUGACCAUGCAGUGAAAUCUUAGUGCAGACGCUUGCAUAGUAAGCUCUGUCAGGGGUCACUGGGGUGAGGGGGUCACUGGGGUAAUUAUCUCCAUCUUAUCCAUCCACUGAAGUCAUGGCCCUGCUUCACAUGGGCAGCACCUGAUGUGGAAAGAGGAAGCAGCAAUGUCCCGCUGAAUCUGCAUUAGGGGGUGGAGCAGGGUAGUAUGCAGAUUAAAAACAGCACGCCAUUGUUUUCCAACCGGAGCUGCAACUCCUGUCAUUGCUGAAACCCUCGGGAUUCUUCCUGGGAACCAGUUGUUCUGGGUCGCCAUCAGAACUAUUUCUUCUUUCUCAAACCUCAAUCUCCAUCCUGGUAAGACGCUUCCCAGAUGCUGUGUAAUUGAGUUGUGUGAUUUUUGCUGUUGUCGCACUUAAAAGAGUCUCCAAUAAAAUCCUUUAAACAUGGUGA